rnacentral:rRNA from 1 species
UACAGAGGGUGCAAGCGUUGUUCGGAAUUACUGGGCGUAAAGGGCGCGUAGGCGGUUUAGUAAGUCAGAUGUGAAAUCCCGGGGCUCAACUCCGGAAGUGCAUUUGAAACUACUAGACUAGAGUACAGUAGAGGUUGGUGGAAUUCCCAGUGUAGAGGUGAAAUUCGUAGAUAUUGGGAGGAACACCGGUGGCGAAGGCGGCCAACUGGGCUGUAACUGACGCUGAGGCGCGAAAGCGUGGGGAGCGAACAGG